UGGGGAAUUUUGGACAAUGGGCGAAAGCCUGAUCCAGCCAUGCCGCGUGCAGGAUGAAGGCCCUCGGGUUGUAAACUGCUUUUGUACGGAACGAAAAGCCUCUUUCUAAUAAAGAGAGGUCAUGACGGUACCGUAAGAAUAAGCACCGGCUAACUACGUGCCAGCAGCCGCGGUAAUACGUAGGGUGCAAGCGUUAAUCGGAAUUACUGGGCGUAAAGCGUGCGCAGGCGGUUUUGUAAGACAGAGGUGAAAUCCCCGGGCUCAACCUGGGAACUGCCUUUGUGACUGCAAGGCUGGAGUGCGGCAGAGGGGGAUGGAAUUCCGCGUGUAGCAGUGAAAUGCGUGAUAUGCGGAGGAACACCGAUGGCGAAGGCAAUCCCCUGGGCUGCACUGACGCUCAUGCACGAAAGCGUGGGGAGCAAACAGGAUUAGAUACCCUGGUAGUCCACGCCCUAAACGAUGUCAACUGGUUGUUGGGUCUUCACUGACUCAGUAACAAAGCUAACGCGUGAAGUUGACCG
rnacentral:rRNA from 1 species